GACGAACGCUGGCGGCGUGCUUAACACAUGCAAGUCGAACGGAGUGGCGAACGGGUGAGUAACACGUGGGUGAUCUGCCUUUCACUUCGGGAUAAGCUUGGGAAACUGGGUCUAAUACCGGAUAGUGCAAGAUGAGCUCGCGGCCUCUCAGCUUGUUGGUGGGGUAAUGGCCUACCAAGGCGUCGACGGGUAGCCGGCCUGAGAGGGUGUAAGGCCACAUUGGGACUGAGAGACGGCCCAGACGCGUACGGGAGGCAGCAGUGGGGAAUAUUGCAAAAUGGGCGGAAGCCUGAUGCAGUGACGCAGCGUGGGGGAUGAAGGCCUUCGGGUGGUAAACUACUUUCGAGAGGGACGCGGUACCUGUAUAAGAAGCAACGGCUAACUACGUGCCAGCAGCCGCGGUAAUUC
rnacentral:rRNA from 1 species